AAUGACAAUAGAAAGAUCAACAAAACCAUGCCUUUAAAUUUUCCUUUUUAAUUAAUAAACUUGAAAAUUUUUCAUAAUAGGGACAACGCAUCCAAUAGCUUUAAGAAUAAGACAAAAAAGAAAAAAGAAAGGUUAUUAAUAAAGGAAGAUAUAGGAAGAUAUGGCAAGUGCAGGGAUGAAGACGAUGAUGAUAAUAUGGUGUGCAAUAAUGGUAAUGAGCUACAUGGUGCCAGGGGUAAUGGGUACACCAUUCGAUUGUAUGAGUGAUUGCACCAAGUCCUGUGGUUCGGGAUUUUUCUGUCAUGUCAAAUGUGAAUUUCAAUGCAUUAAAUCUAAUGGUGCUGGCUUUUUUCACCCUGUCAUCAGAAAUAAGGCUACUAAGAAUAGUUGCGGUUCUUCGGCUUCUCUUUCGGCAUUGUCCUCUCCUUCUUGUCAGCCGAGAGGAUCAGAAAGGAAAAUAAAGCCUAUCAUCAACUAAAAAAUAAGUUUAAAAAUUAUUAGUGUAUAUGAAAGAUAAAUGUAAAAUAAUUGUUUUUAUGUAAGAAGAAGAAUUUGAUGAUGGAGUGUUUGUGAAGCACUAUGUAUAACCUGCUCAAUUUUCUCAAAAAUCUAAUAAAAAUGACACCUUGCAUCACAA